AGCAGCCGCGGUAAUUCCAGCUCCAAUAGCGUAUAUUAAAGUUGUUGCAGUUAAAAAGCUCGUAGUUGAACUUCGGGAUUUGCCCAUUGGUCAGGCUUAACUGUCUGCACUGGUGUGACGAGUUCCUACCUUCUGAGGAAUCUCCAUGUCAUUCAGUUGGUGUGGGGGGAAAUCAGGACUGUUACUUUGAAAAAAUUAGAGUGUUUAAAGCAGGCAUCCGUCUGAAUACAUUAGCAUGGAAUAAUAAAAUAGGACGGUUUGGUUCUAUUUUGUUGGUUUCUAGGAUCACCGUAAUGAUUAAUAGGGAUAGUUGGGGGCAUUAGUAUUCAAUUGUCAGAGGUGAAAUUCUUGGAUUUAUUGAAGUACUAACUACUGCGAAAG
rnacentral:rRNA from 1 species